AACGAACGCUGGCGGCAUGCCUAACACAUGCAAGUCGAACGAGACCUUCGGGUCUAGUGGCGCACGGGUGCGUAACGCGUGGGAAUCUGCCCUUGGGUUCGGGAUAACAGUUGGAAACGACUGCUAACACCGGAUGAUGUCUUCGGACCAAAGAUUUAUCGCCCAGGGAUGAGCCCGCGUCGGAUUAGCUAGUUGGUGAGGGAAAGGCUCACCAAGGCGACGAUCCGUAGCUGGUCUGAGAGGAUGAUCAGCCACACUGGGACUGAGACACGGCCCAGACUCCUACGGGAGGCAGCAGUGGGGAAUAUUGGACAAUGGGCGAAAGCCUGAUCCAGCAAUGCCGCGUGAGUGAUGAAGGCCUUAGGGUUGUAAAGCUCUUUUACCCGGGAUGAUAAUGACAGUACCGGGAGAAUAAGCCCCGGCUAACUCCGUGCCAGCCGCCGCGGUAACAC
rnacentral:rRNA from 1 species